UACGUAGGGUGCGAGCGUUUGUCCGGAAUUACUGGGCGUAAAGAGCUCGUAGGUGGUUUGUCGCGUUGUCCGUGAAAACUCACAACUCAAUUGUGGGCGUGCGGGCGAUACGGGCAGACUGGAGUACUGCAGGGGAGACUGGAAUUCCUGGUGUAGCGGUGAAAUGCGCAGAUAUCAGGAGGAACACCGGUGGCGAAGGCGGGUCUCUGGGCCGAUACUGACGCUGAGGUGCGAAAGCGUGGGGAGCAAACAGG
rnacentral:rRNA from 1 species